rnacentral:rRNA from 1 species
UACGUAGGGGGCAAGCGUUGUCCGGAAUCAUUGGGCGUAAAGAGCGUGUAGGCGGCUCGAUAAGUCUGCUGUGAAAGUCCAGGGCUCAACCCUGGAAGGCCGGUGGAAACUGUCGGGCUAGAGUCCGGAAGAGGCGAGUGGAAUUCCCGGUGUAGCGGUGAAAUGCGCAGAGUAUCGGGAGGAACACCGGUGGCGAAGGCGGUUCUCUGGGCCUUGACCUGACGCUGAGGAGCGAAAGCGUGGGGAGCGAACAGG